rnacentral:rRNA from 1 species
GAUGAACGCUAGCGGCAGGCCUAAUACGUGCAAGUCGAACGGUGUCUUCGGACAUAGUGGCGCACGGGUGCGUAACACGUAUGCAACCUACCUUACAUUGGGGGAUAGCCUUUCGAAAGGGAGAUUAAUACCGCAUAAGACAGUAGCUGGGCAUCCAGCAGCUGUUAAAGAUUUAUCGAUGUAAGCUGGGCAUGCGUCCAAUUAGCUAGUUGGUGAGGUAACGGCUCACCAAGGCAAUGAUUGGUAGGGGAACUGAGAGGUCAAUCCCCCACACUGGCACUGAGAUACGGGCCAGACUCCUACGGGAGGCAGCAGUAGGGAAUAUUGGGCAAUGGACGCAAGUCUGACCCAGCCAUGCCGCGUGCAGGAUGAAGGCGUUAUGCGUUGUAAACUGCUUUUAUACAGGAAGAAACGACUCUUGCGAGAGGCAUUGACGGUACCGUAUGAAUAAGCACCGGCUAACUCCGUGCCAGCAGCCGCCGUAAGAC